AUUCAGGAUUCAUGUGUACUUUAUAGUCAACGCAAAAAUGGCCAAGAUAUGGGGAGGAGCGAUUCCGAGCACAGCCAGCUGUCUGUCAUAAAGCCAUCGUUCUGGCUCAGCCCUGCGGACAGACGCCUAAGUCAGAGAGGAGGUGCAAAGAAAAGAGUCAAAACCAAAAGAAUCCUCCUCAAGUGCAGGAGAGGGAAGCAUCCUUUGGGAGGUAAUUCAGGUAAUGCAAAUCAGGAAGUGGUGGUGGGCUGAUCUGCUGCUUGCGGGAUACUGAAGAGACCCCGUGCUCGUUCCUGGCUCUGGAUGUCUGUCCUGGAUGCAUCGUGUCCUUCCCAAGACCCGCCUGUCCAACUUUGGACUGCCUCCUCCUCUUCUAAGGUGGCUUCAUGUUUGCAUGGCACCCUGUGGCUUACAGCCCCUACCCCAUCCGUCACCCUGUUUGAUCCCCGAGGUCCCCAUGAGGCCGGCUCCAGGGAGACCAUGAUCAACCUAAGACAGGGCCUGGGAGGAGCAAUUAAAAGUAGAAAUGACUUGAAAGUCCAGAAAGAGAAGCAACGUUCGUAGCAGUUCUGGUACCAAAAUGCCUGCCAAAGGAUCCUAGGUAUGUAUGACAUGCGCCGCACGAUGACGUUGAGGUCAAUGACAGACUGUGUAUACGACGGUGCAGUACCAUACAGCCCAGGUGUGCAGUAGACUGCACCGUCUGGAUUCAUCUUCUUUUGAAGAGUCAGAAGAUUACGUGACCCUAGGCCCAUAUUCCUGCAUGUCACCAUCUGCUGAAGCCCUUUGACUGGGGAUGCUGUGCCCGUCAGUGGGCUUUGGGCAGCAAGCAAAAGACAUUUGAUGCAAAAAGACUUAAGCAAG
rnacentral:lncRNA from 1 species